rnacentral:rRNA from 1 species
CCUACGGGAGGCAGCAGUGGGGAAUAUUGCACAAUGGGGGAAACCCUGAUGCAGCGACGCCGCGUGAGUGAAGAAGUAAUUCGUUAUGUAAAGCUCUAUCAGCAGGGAAGAAAAUGACGGUACCUGAGUAAGAAGCCCCGGCUAACUACGUGCCAGCAGCCGCGGUAAUACGUAGGGGGCAAGCGUUAUCCGGAUUUACUGGGUGUAAAGGGAGCGUAGACGGCAGUGCAAGUCUGGAGUGAAAGGCGGGGGCUCAACCCCCGGACUGCUCUGGAAACUGUACGGCUUGAGUGCAGGAGAGGUAAGUGGAAUUCCUGGUGUAGCGGUGAAAUGCGUAGAGAUUAGGAGGAACACCAGUGGCGAAGGCGGCUUACUGGACUGUAACUGACGUUGAGGCGCGAAAGCGUGGGGAGCAAACAGGAUUAGAUACCCCUGUAGUC